UUGAAACCUAACAUUCAAAACAGAGCGCACAUGAAUGGAGCAAUAUGGGACGCAAGGAGCUUCGAUGGCAUAUUCAAAGCGAUAAUAGAGAUUAAUACACUCAUUCAACAAAUAUCCAGUUAUUUAUGCAUUACGGUAAAAGUAGAAACAUCGAUUCAAUAUUGAGUGAAUAACAACUAUGUUAGAGAUCUUAGCAUGAAGUGAGUAAAUGGGGAAGAAGAAGUACCGACGGAAGGAGAUCUGAAGCUUUCGACCACUUAAACUCCGAUGACUCUUCGAGCAAAAAUCUCUCCAAGUCCCCGGUAAGCUCCGUUCGGUUUCUCUUUUCGCCUUUCUUCGUUUUCCUUCACUGACUUUGGGUGUCUCUCGGCUUUGCAGUGGCUUCAGCUCAGUUUUCUCAAAGUUCUAAUGAUGAACUUUGAGUGAACUUUGGGAGUAUUGAGCUUUGGUGAAUGGGUGUGAGGGAAAUCUCAAAGUCCUCCAAAUUGAUGUGGUCCCUCAAAUGAAAGGAUAAGGUUUUGUCUGUAAUGCAUCUACGGAAUUGAUUCGUUUUGCACCCAAAUCUUCUCAAGUGUUGUUCGACUGUCUUUGGAUUCUGCUAGCGGGUUUUGUAACCUGAAGAAAUGCGCACAGACGACAUCGAAACUAGGUGUCCCUUUGAGGUGGCCUGCAGACUGGUUUUGGCGAGUCGAGACGACAGAAUAUCUCAUGACUCACGUCUCUUUGCAGGAAUGUUCCGCAACAGGUAAUGUCUCGUAUUCAUAGCUAUGUUUCGACCUCACACUACACCUUUCUAGGUUGGCUCCUCUUAAUUUGCCGGUUUUUGUUUCUGUGGAAGCAUUGCGCGGGAUUAUCAUGAUCCUUCUCAUACUGACGCCAUGUUAUUAGCGAGAGAUUCGACUGGCUUGCUACAACAUGGAUCCAUUGGAUUACCAUACGAGGGGUCUUGGUCACAUGUGCAUAAUGGAAAUGUCUCCACCUGAUUGUAGUUUGCUUGUUACUAGUGAACUGUUUUCUCUUAGGAAGAGUGAGUUCCAUGGCGUCCCGAUUCUCAACCUGACCAUGCUUAAUCGGGUAGGUGAGAUUACACGUGCUACUAGACCAAACCUUAGAAAGUGCGUCAUCUCCAAUGAAGAAAUCAAGAUCAACCAUGACACUAACAUUAUGCUGUGCAAUCCAAUUUCCUUCGGAAGAACUCCUUGAUUGAUUCAGAAGCGACUUAUUAAUUGCAACAACACUAGGGACCAUAAAUCAAGGUUCAACAUUACCAGCAAGUCCCUUGGUAGCCUUUGGUUUUAUGUAUCGGGUUGGUUGUGGCUAUUGCAACGCGGCUUGGAUCAAAUGGCUUUACUAUGUAUUUGUUUAUGCUUUUUCACUGCAUCUGUCAUUGGCUUGCUGUUUGUAUAAGUGUGGGGUGCUGUUGUUUUGCAGGUCUCCGUUUUGGAUGAUGUUUACGGAUAACAGACCAUGGCAUGCCGCAGGUCUGAUGUACUUGACCUUGAAUGGCAAUGCAAGUGCAGUUGCCCUUGAGCAUACAUGGAUGAAUUUCCUCUUUGAGAUGCUCCUCAUGGCUUGUGGCUUCGUUCUCAUAACAUGCUUCUGUCACAUUACACGACUUCCAUAGGAUGCAGAAUGUUUGUAUUGAUCUUCUACUGUUGCUCACAUGUUAUUCAUAUGGUUGGCCACAUGUUUUUCAUAUUGUUGCUCACAUGUUGUUCAUAUUAUGUUCAGUAUGAGUGUAGGCAAAUGGUCAUUGCGUAUGUCUGUAAGGUUUUGAACUGGUUUUGGACAGGUUAAGUCAUCUUAUACAGGUGGAUCCACAACUUAACGGGAAUGGACCGGACACGGAAGAUCAACAAUUAGAUGCCUCUUAUUCAGAACUUAAUCUUUCUUGACUCAAGUGAUGUAACAUGGACAAUUGAGGCUUAGGUCUUUUUUUUUAGGAAAUGGUCAAUAACUGGUUUGUUGGAAUUUGGCCAACCUUUGUAGAGGAUUUGUCAAUUCCUUAUGAUUUUGUAAUGAUGAUUUUGUAAUUCCUUAUGAUUUUUUUUUAGGAAAAGUGAAUUGUAAUUGUAUGAUUUUUAAAGGUGCAUGAAACAGUUUUUGUGAAGUGAAAUGUAGACAGAAAAUGGUUAUGGAAUUCAGGAUUGUUUCAGAUUA